rnacentral:rRNA from 1 species
UACGUAGGUGGCAAGCGUUGUCCGGAAUUAUUGGGCGUAAAGCGCUCGCAGGUGGUUCGAUGCGUCGUGCGUGAAAGACCCCGGCUCAACUGGGGAGGGUCGUGCGAUACGGUCGAACUGGAGGCCAGUAGGGGGAUGCGGAAUUCCGGGUGUAGUGGUGGAAUGCGUAGAGAUCCGGAGGAACACCAGCGGCGAAGGCGGCAUCCUGGACUGGUCCUGACACUCAGGAGCGAAAGCGUGGGGAGCGAUCCGG